rnacentral:rRNA from 1 species
GACGAACGCUGGCGGCGUGCCUAACACAUGCAAGUCGAACGAUGAUCCCCCGCCUGCGGGGGUGAUUAGUGGCGAACGGGUGAGUAAUACGCGAGUAACCUGCUCCUGACUCUGGGAUAAGCCUGGCAAACGGGGUCUAAUACUGGAUACCACUUCCCGCCGCAUGGCGGGGGGUGGACAGGGUUUUACGGGUUUUGGGUGGGCUCACGGGCUAUCGGCUUGUUGGUGGAGUAAUGGCUCACCAAGGCGACGACGGGUAGCCGGACAGAGGGAGUGAGCGGCCGCACUGAGUCUGAGGGGAGGCACCGGCGGCGACGGGUGGCCGCAGUGGGAAAUAUUGAACCAGGAACGGCAGCCGGGUGAAGAGGGGCCGCGUGUGGGAAAACGGCCUUCGUGUUGAAGAAAUCUUUCGGCAGGAAAGGAGCCAGGAGUGACGGUACCUGAAGAAGAAGCGCCGGCUAACUACGUG